rnacentral:rRNA from 1 species
UACCAGCACCCCGAGUGGUCGGGACGAUUAUUGGGCCUAAAGCAUCCGUAGCCGGUCAUGCAAGUCUUCCGUUAAAUCCAGCCGCUCAACGGUUGGGCUGCGGAGGAUACUACGUGGCUAGGAGGCGGGGAGAGGCAAGCGGUACUCAGUGGGUAGGGGGUAAAAUCCUUUGAUCCAUUGAAGACCACCAGUUGGCGAAGGCGGCUUGCCAGAACGCGCUCGACGGUGAGGGAUGAAAGCUGGGGGAGCAAAGCCGG